GAUGAAGAACGUAGCGAAAUGCGAUAAGUAAUGUGAAUUGCAGAAUCCAGUGAAUCAUCGAAUCUUUGAACGCACAUUGCGCCCGCCAGCAUUCUGGCGGGCAUGCCUGUUCGAGCGUCAUUUCAACCCUCGACCUCCCCUUGGGGAGGUCGGCGUUGGGGACCGGCAGCACACCGCCGGCCCUGAAAUGAAGUGGCGGCCCGUCUGCGGCGACCUCUGCGUAGUAAUACAGCUCGCACCGGAACCCCGACGCGGCCACGCCGUAAAACACCCAACUUCUGAACGUUGACCUCGAAUCAGGUAGAACUACCCGCUGAACUUAAGCAUAUCAAUAAGCGGAGGA
rnacentral:misc_RNA from 1 species